rnacentral:misc_RNA from 1 species
GAUGAAGAACGUAGCGAAAUGCGAUAAGUAAUGUGAAUUGCAGAAUUCAGUGAAUCAUCGAAUCUUUGAACGCACAUUGCGCCCGCCAGUAUUCUGGCGGGCAUGCCUGUUCGAGCGUCAUUUCAACCCUCAGGCCCCCAGUGCCUGGUGUUGGGGAUCGGCCCAGCCUUCCUGUAAGGCCGCCGGCCCCGAAAUCUAGUGGCGGUCUCGCUGUAGUCCUCCUCUGCGUAGUAGCACAACCUCGCAGUUGGAACGCGGCGGUGGCCAUGCCGUUAAACACCCCACUUCUGAAAGUUGACCUCGGAUCAGGUAGGAAUACCAGCUGAACUUAAGCAUAUCAAUAAGCGGAGGA